GAAAACAUGGAAACUACCUUUGGAUCGAGAAAUAAACGUUCGAGAUUCGUCCACGUCACCCUGAGUUAAAAUUUAACUCGCAGAUUCACUCAUGAGUUGAAAUUUUACUAGGAGUUAAAUUUUAACUCAUGGUGACGUGGACGAAUCUCGGACGUCCAUUUCUCGAUCCAACGGUAUCCAUGUUUCC
rnacentral:pre_miRNA from 3 species